AGCCGGUGAUGAUAACCUUUAAGGCUUGUUUCUCAGAGACAUUCGCAGUGGCCGCCUAAGAUCUUUCGCCUUUCGCCGGGCUUGAGAGAUUAUGCUGUUUAUUCCUUCCUUGGAUGUCUGAGGCUCAUUUGUUUUUUAAUAGGGUUAAUAAAAUGUUGAUUUAAUAAUAUAGUUUUGGUUUAAUUAGUAUGGAAGAUUGUUUGUUAAUGAUGAUAAUCCAAGGCUUGUUUCACAGAGACAUUCGCAGUGGCCGCCUAAGAACUUUCGCCUUCGCCAGGCUUGAGAGUUUAUGCUGCUUUAACCUUCCUUGGAUGUCUGAAACA
rnacentral:lncRNA from 1 species